UUUUAAUGUUACCACUACUACACUGUAGCAGAUCAGCUGUCCCGCGCUUCCGGACUGCACGUGACAUCUCCGCGCGUCACGACGCAUCAGCAACAAGACACGAUGUUUAAACACAGUCAACAGUUUGUAAACGGUGGACAUCAUUAUUAUCAGCGCUGCAGCGCUCCUGGCGGUUAUAUUGUGUUACUGCAGUUUCUCUUAUGCAACGAUGAAGAUUGGUGUUCAGUUAUCAGUUUAGAUGAGACAGACUGAACGCUGUAAUGAUGGAGGUAAAGAGAAGCAGAGCGCUGGCCAGGACCACCGGACCGCUCGACCGAUACACUAAACGUCCAUUACGAGACUGUACAGGUCGAAAUACUCCCACCAUCGGAUUGCCAUCAGAAAACUUUAGCUGGGAAGGAAAGGCCCGAAGCUGUUUGGAAAAAUUUGUUAUGAUCAUGAUCAAUGUAACUUUCAGGUCAAUCUGGUUUAUUUUUUCACUUAAUGUUUGCAAUUGGAUUUGUAAAUGUAUUCGGUCGUACCUGUUCUCUGCUGAGAGGAAUGGGAUUUUUAAAGACAGUCCAGACAACAGCUUCACUGCAGUUCGGUGUGGUCAGAGAUCCAUUGUAUCUGUAAUAUUUAGUCAUUUUGUCCUCUGACAAAAUAAAUUGGCUGAUCGAGAUGUUACGAAUGGUUGUGAUAUUAUCUGCAGAAAGACAGACAGAAAAAAUAAAUCUUCUGGUAUGAG